rnacentral:lncRNA from 10 species
CACUAUCUCAAAAUGGAAGGAAGGAAGGGAGGGAGGGAGGAAGGGAGGGAGGGAAGAGAGGAAGAAAGGAAGGGAAAAUAUGUAUUAUCUCAGCAAGUAAAAUGCAGAUGAAGGAAAAGGACAAUGAUCAUUUGAAUGGAAGAUGGAUCCACUGUAAUCCAGGUAUGGGAGAAUACUGAACACGAAUGUCAAAAGAAACAGAAUGUGCUGACGAUCUGCAAGGCAUUUCACAGAAGACAAAGAACACAAACCAUGGAGAGAAGACUAGCACAAUCAAAUAGUGGGAGGUGAGGAAGGUAGACAGAAUUCAUGAUUUUGGAAUCUGCACAGUUUAUCAUCAGACAUUCUGAGAAAGAAGGAAGUGAACUAUCUCACUGGUACUGCUAUAUUGUCAAGUAAAAUAUUCAACUAGGUUAAAAGUGUCAGACAUAUCAAUUUGGAGGCAAGCUGCAAAAAUACACAGGAAAAAAGGUCUUAGAAGUUGAGAUUAGAUAAACUCUUUUACGGGAUACAAAGAAAACCAAAAAAGUGGAAAAUGGGUUCUAAGAGGACACUCCUGAAAAGGCAAGAAAAGGAACCAACAUUCACUUAUGAAAUUCACACUUCCUGAAUGUCUACUAUGGACAGAGCAUGAUUCCAGUUAUGGGGAAGGGGAAAUGAACACACAGACAGGUCACAAAUGAGCAUUGGGGAAAGAGGGGAAAGCUGAGGGAGCGCUACAUCAUCACAUCAACUGAGCAUGGACUUGGGGAAAUAAGGUACACCACAAGCUGUGACUCAAUUCACAAGCACAGGUGGAGGACGAGGUUUUGGUAUCUGAAUGCCUAAAGAAAUAAAUAAAAUCGAGGGCAGAAAAUAAGUCCAAGGUAUUUUUAAAGCAAGGAAGGAAAGAAAAUGGAAGAUAAAAAGAAUGAACAUAAAAGUCUCAAGUUAAUUUUUAUGUCAGACUUCUGAAUGCCCCAAAA